UACGUAGGUGGCAAGCGUUGUCCGGAUUUACUGGGUGUAAAGGGCGUGCAGCCGGGCUUCUAAGUCAGAUGUGAAAUCCGCGGGCUUAACUCGCGAACUGCAUUUGAAACUGGAGGUCUUGAGUACCGGAGAGGUCAUCGGAAUUCCUUGUGUAGCGGUGAAAUGCGUAGAUAUAAGGAAGAACACCAGUGGCGAAGGCGGAUGACUGGACGGCAACUGACGGUGAGGCGCGAAAGCGUGGGGAGCAA
rnacentral:rRNA from 1 species